GACGAACGCUGGCGGCGUGCUUAACACAUGCAAGUCGAACGGAAAGGCCCUGCUUUUGUGGGGUGCUCGAGUGGCGAACGGGUGAGUAACACGUGAGUAACCUGCCCUUGACUUUGGGAUAACUUCAGGAAACUGGGGCUAAUACCGGAUAGGAGCUCCUGCUGCAUGGUGGGGGUUGGAAAGUUUCGGCGGUUGGGGAUGGACUCGCGGCUUAUCAGCUUGUUGGUGGGGUAGUGGCUUACCAAGGCUUUGACGGGUAGCCGGCCUGAGAGGGUGACCGGCCACAUUGGGACUGAGAUACGGAGCAGAAUCGUACGGGAGGCAGCAGUGGGGAAUAUUGCACAAUGAGCGGAAGCCUGAUGCAGCAACGCCGCGUGCGGGAUGACGGGCUUCGGGUUGUAAACAGCUUUCGAAUGUGACGAAGCGUGAGUGACGGUAAUGGGUAAAGAAGCACCGGCUAACUACGUG
rnacentral:rRNA from 1 species